rnacentral:piRNA from 1 species
UCUCUACUUCAAGGCCUGUGGAAUGGA